CUUUCUCGCGUUUCUGAUGUCCUCCGCCUCCGAGAACUCGCUCUCCGACGUUGGCUCCCAUUUCACCGUCUUCGACGUGCCAAAUUUGCCAGCUGGUUUGCUCUGUCGCGUCGAAGACGCCGUAGAACUGCUUCUCUUCGCGAAACCGUUCUCUUUCCUCGUAGUGAACUCGUGAACGAUGGGUACCUCGAUGUCACUGGCUCGUCGUUGGCCUUGGAUCGUUCUGUUAGUACUGCUGACUGUUCUUUUGCCUUCCCCGGGAAGCACGAUUCCGAACUCGUAGCCAAAGUCGUACUUGAAGUGGAUCGGAAGCUGUAAGUUUCACUGUUCGCGAAACGAACGCGCAAGAAUCGAUAAUUCACGUCUUACGUAAAAAUUUCCGAAUGAAACGUUUCGCGAGUCCGAAAAUAACGGACGGAAAUCUUCAGCUCCGAUUGAUCGAAGUGGUUCCGUCGUCGAUCAGAUUUUGAAGUUCGUGGACCGUGGCCAACGGGUUCUCCUGGCAAUAUCAGUUAACAAAAGCUCGAGCACGCGUGCACGAACCAAGAAGCAUUGGAG
rnacentral:misc_RNA from 1 species